CGAGAGAGGACGCGAGAGUAGAGGAAGGGAGAGAGAGAGAGGGAAAGAGAGAGAGAUCCCACACUCUAAAGGAAAGAACGGGGGAGGUGCAGGAGCAUGUGAGUGCAUCGACACAUACAGAAACAGAGAGAGAGAAAUGGAAACAGAGAGAGGGAGAGAAACAGCAAGGGACAAUGCCAGAGAAAACCUCUCGCUGCUCCGUAAACCCUGUUGAUAAAGGUGCGUUGUUACCAAAACGUGAGCCCAUCUGCCUCUUGAAGACCACCUGCACUGGAAGACCACCUGCCACAGACCACCCUGGGGACAACUGAUACCAAAGGACCAGAGAAGAGACUGAGAGAAUAGUGCCUUUUGGUUGUAGCAGCAUUCCAGUAAAGAACCUCAUAAACCAACAGACAUAUCUGUGUUCUCUUUAAGGAAAGACAGAAUGAGAAGAGACUGACAUCCUCUCCUUUUAUCACUCCCAGCUGUGAUGGAUCCCCCCGUGCAUUACUCCGAGCACACAGACUUGAACCUGAGAGAGGUGGAUGUGCGAAGAGAGAGAACAAGAGAGAAAUGAAGAGAUGACUGCUGCAUAUGUUGUUCUGCUCUGAGGGAAUGGCUCUGCUGGUCUGAGUAGAGAUAGAGGUACUGGCCUUUUCCUUUCUACGGUUUGUAGGCUGCUCCUCUACUGUUUCUAGACUGCUGCUGUUGCUACUGCCCACUGCCUUUCCCUGAGCCUCAGAUCCCAGUGUGGGCAGCCACUGUGUGUGUUGUUCACAACACUUCUUCUGCCUUUUCUCCAUCUCGGGCAGUCCAAGUGGAACAUUCAUUACAGAGAGAGAGAGAGAGAGCGCACAGUCUAGCCUUGAAGCUGUGUAGAUACUUGGAAGCUCACUGCCCACUGUGCUGGACUGGAGUUGGACUCACUCAUCAAUACUGCUUUAUACCCAGGGGGAAUCCAACUCUCAAAAAAAAACAUUGGAAAGCAGAAAGCACCUUGUUCUUCAGACUGUUUGUUUUGAGGCGGUUAGAAGCCUUGUAUGUAUGUGUGUGUGAAACAAACAAUCAACCCUGAGGAGUGUAUGUGUGAGAGUAUUGUGUGCGUUUACAGUCUUUUUCUAAUUAAGCUGGCAGACUGCAGUGAGACGGACGAUCAGCGUGGGCGCCUCUUUCUCUCCCUCUUCCCACUUAGGCCCCAUUGUGAUCAUUAAUGUCUGUUGCAAACUGUCCAUGAAUUAUGGAGUAGUGAAGUCUCCAUAGAAGUAGUGACUGUGGGGAACAGAUAGACGGACAGAAGGACGGUCAGAGAAAGCGUGAAAUAGAGAAGAGGGGGAUAUAGAAAACAGAUAGUUGUAAGCUCCAACUGUACAUGUUCUCUCAACUGAGCACAGACUCAGUGGAGGUGUGAGAGAGAGAGGGGGAGUUGUGUGCCCUUCGUUGAACAGAUGAAUGAGAGAGGAGCUUAGAGACAACACGUGAUUCACAGAAAGAGAACUAGGGAAGAAAGGGAGUGAGGACGAGAGAAGCAAGCUCGCAUACACCACUGUCAACCUAGUUACAUCGGCGCUGCACCGACUGCACCGACAGGCAACAAUCCAGGACAGAGGAAUGUAGCGUGGCCUCAUUGAGAAGAACAGAGAACAAGCACUGCUGCUGAGCCUUUCAUUUUCAGGAGGUAUCUUUUGGAAGUCACACUACAGUGUUUAUCAGGGAGGGACACCGUCUAAGCAAUACUACAAAUCAAAAGGGGGACUGUUUAGCGUGUUGCACUAACCAGCAGAAGUCUCAAGACUGCCGAGGCAUGAGGCAAGCAGAGAGGAGAGGUAUUUCUUCCCUCUAUGGGCAGUGACACAUCUAGUUCCCAGAGUAAGGUCUGAAUUAAUCCUGCUGGACCAGAGGAGUGAGGGAAGGAACUAUGAGCUAACUCACCCUCUGUGAUCGACCCCUGAAAAGUGCCUGCUCACCACCCCCAUCCUGGUGCAGAGGACCAUCUCUCGAUCUGUACCCCAACCCCAGAAGAAAGGGUGUUUCUGUACCCCUAAAGAGGGGUGAAACUGUCUGGAUAUAGACUCUACUAUUUGACUCUACAGCAGCAGAAACAUGGAUGACUCCAGUAUUCUGAGACGCAGGGGUCUACAGGCCAUGUCUCCAGGCCGUGUGUGUGUGUGAGAAGAGCUCUGCCUCUGUCAAACCGGCUCUGGUGUGACCCUCUGCCCUGCAGUGACAUGGAUGCCCGUCUCAGCUGUCCAACCCCGCUGAAGUCAUGCUCUCUGCCAUGCAGUGACACACACACACACACACACACACACAAACACUUUCUUGCUUCAUAUCACACACAGAGAGACAGACACUCUAUCCAGUGCUGUUUUCAUCCAGCAGUAGUUUAGUUGUGUAACAUCUUCCUCAAACCCUGACUGACUGUUGAAAUAGCUGCAGGCUGAUGACGAGCAGAGAUUUUUAAUAUGAGACGGUGUCUUUAAAAGGAACUAGUCAGAUCACUCUUCACAUCAUGUCGUAGUGGGACAUUCUGAUGUUGUAACAGCA
rnacentral:lncRNA from 1 species